AAUCAGCAUAUUCGUCAAUGUUGUUGUUGGACGCAAUGCGGAACAUAUCCCAAUCCACGUGAUCGAAGCAGUCUUGAAGCGUGGAAUCAGAUUGGUCGAACCAGCGUUGAACAGGCCUGAGCGCGGAAGCUUCUUGUUUUAGUUUUUAAUCCACCAACCAGAAGACUAUUUAUUUUUAAGACAUUUUGAUUACCAUUAAAUAUAGUCUACACAUUUUCUUUAUGAGGAACAUAGUUCAUAAAUGUCAGUUUUGAUCAUUAUAGGUCAAAGAGGUCCAUAUUGCUUGUCUCUCUAAUCUGCUCCUCCAGGGUGUAAGGACAACCACUUGGUUGACCUUUGACCCCAGUGUAUGGACGGUGCCCGGGCGGAGUGGGUACUGGAUCUUGUGUUCAUAACCGGCAAAAAAGAACACCUGCCUAGAUGACAAGAGUGCUCUCACCCCAGGAGGACUCGGGCUAGGAAAGUUCUCGUGAUCAAAUGAAUAUCCUACAUCUGUAGGAGUCCCUGUCUUGACAUCGAGGCAGUUCAAGGAAUCGGACUUUGAGAAGGUGGUGGAGUUUAUGAUAAGGGGAUCCAUAUUGACCAGGAUGUGAAGAAGAAGACCAGUAAGAAGGGAUACAUGCACAUAGCUGACACAGGCCAUGUGGACUGGCCAGACAUAGCUUAUUAUCCCAUUGCAAACUUGUACCAAACUAUAACACUUCAGUUCACUUUAUUAUGGGUUCAGCUUAGAGCAAGUCCAGAAUGGGAGAUAAAGGGAAAAGCUUGUGAAACCAAAACAGUUUGGAGGACCAUGACAGAGAAUGACAGUAAUAUAUAGUAUAAAGACUUGACCACUCUGUAAGUUAACCAUGGUAUAUCCCUAUCCUCCACAGGAAGCUUCCAGGACUUUAAGUCCUUCUUGCUGCAGGAUCCAGGGACAGUGGCCCGUAUCACUGACCUGUGCCAGAGGGUGGAGGAGUUCACACGGCUGUUCCCCAUGCCUGGCUUCACUGAGAGAGACACAGGGAGACUGGACUUUAGGCCCAGGUUAUGAUCCCAUCCUUCAGCCAGAUAGUGCAGUAGUUGUGUAGAUGAACAAAAGUACAAUCAUCUAAUCUGUUAGUCUUUCCAGGAGAAGAACCUUUGUUCUAAUUCUGCUAGACAUUGAUAGCUGCUAUAUGGUUCAUAAGGAGAUUUUUGUAUUCCAAUUUUGCUCAAUAUUUAAUCGUAUCAAGUUACUGUGAUACUACGUUGUAAAUAGUGCAAUUCUUGUUAUACUCCUUUUCACCUGAUGUGUAGAGAAUUGACAUAGAGAUGUUUUCUCCUUCACAUUUCUCUCUGUGCGAAUUGAGCAUGUGUAUAUGUCUUGUUUAGAAGAGAGUAAGAGAGGGGGCUCUGAGAUUUCCUAAACAGAGCAGCAUUUCCUCUGAGCGUUUCCUCUCGCUGUAGACUAGUAGUGUAGUAACGGACAAGGGGUUGCUAGUGUUGGAGCAAACAGAGGAUCUCUUAGAGUCCCUGUUAGAGAUCCCCACACACAUGAACACAAAGUGAAUAUUAGUUUGUUAACCUAAACGUGUCAACCACUUUGUUUGUGGAAUCUUCUGGUGGUUGUGAGAGUAUGACAAAUUGAACAGCUAAAUGUUGUCUUUUUUUCAAUACUAUCUCUUUCUCACUUU